rnacentral:rRNA from 1 species
AUUGAACGCUGGCGGCAUGCUUUACACAUGCAAGUCGAACGGUAAUAGGCCUUCGGGUGCUGACGAGUGGCGAACGGGUGAGUAAUGCAUCGGAACGUACCCAGAGGUGGGGGAUAACGCAGCGAAAGCUGUGCUAAUACCGCAUGUGAUCUGAGGAUGAAAGCGGGGGACCGCGCAGCAAUGUUUGGCCUCGCGCCUUUGGAGCGGCCGAUGUCGGAUUAGCUAGUUGGUGGGGUAAAGGCCUACCAAGGCGACGAUCCGUAGCUGGUCUGAGAGGACGACCAGCCACACUGGGACUGAGACACGGCCCAGACUCCUACGGGAGGCAGCAGUGGGGAAUUUUGGACAAUGGGCGCAAGCCUGAUCCAGCAAUGCCGCGUGCGGGAAGAAGGCCUUCGGGUUGUAAACCGCUUUUGGCAGGAACGAAACGGUGUCCGCUAAUACCGGGCGCUAAUGACGGUACCUGCAGAAUAAGCACCGGCUAACUACGUG